rnacentral:rRNA from 1 species
UACAGAGGUGGCAAGCGUUGUUCGGAAUUACUGGGCGUAAAGGGCGCGUAGGCGGCCCGUCAAGUCCCGUGUGAAAGCCCCCGGCUCAACCGGGGAACGGCGCGGGAAACUAGCAGGCUUGAGUUCGGGAGAGGGAAGCGGAAUUCCGGGUGUAGCGGUGAAAUGCGCAGAUAUCCGGAGGAACACCGGUGGCGAAGGCGGCCUUCCUGGACCGACACUGACGCUGAGGCGCGAAAGACUAGGGGAGCAAACGGG